rnacentral:rRNA from 1 species
GGUGACCAGCGGAGGGAUCAUUACCGAGUUUACAACUCCCAAACCCAUGUGAACAUACCUUUACGUUGCUUCGGCGGAGCCGCCCCGGCGCCCGGAACCUCUUCGGUUUCGCGGCCCGGAACCAGGCGCCCGCCGGAGGCCACAAACUCUUUUGUUUUUACAGUUUCUUCUGAGUGUGCCGCAAGGCAAAAUACAAAUGAAUCAAAACUUUCAACAACGGAUCUCUUGGUUCUGGCAUCGAUGAAGAACGCAGCGAAAUGCGAUAAGUAAUGUGAAUUGCAGAAUUCAGUGAAUCAUCGAAUCUUUGAACGCACAUUGCGCCCGCCAGAAUUCUGGCGGGCAUGCCUGUUCGAGCGUCAUUUCAACCCUCGAGCUCCCCUCUUUUUGGGAGAGCCCGGCGUUGGGGACCCGGCGCUAACACCGCCGGCCCCGAAAUGGAGUGGCGGCCCGUCCGCGGCGACCUCUGCGUAGUAAUAUCCACUCGCACCGGGACCCGGGCGCGGCCACGCCGUUAAACACCCCACCUUCCGAAUGUUGACCUCGAAUCAGGUAGGAAUACCCGCUGAACUUAAGCAUAUCAAUAAGCGGAGGAAAAGAAACCAACAGGGAUUGCCCCAGUAACGGCGAGUGAAGCGGCAACAGCUCAAAUUUGAAAUCUGGUCCCCAGGGCCCGAGUUGUAAUUUGUAGAGGAUGCUUUUUGGCGAGGCGCCUUCCGAGUUCCCUGGAACGGGACGCCACAGAGGGUGAGAGCCCCGUCUGGUCGGAUGCC